rnacentral:rRNA from 1 species
CGGCUACCACAUCCAAGGAAGGCAGCAGGCGCGCAAAUUACCCAAUGGCGACACGCCGAGGUAGUGACAAUAAAUAACAAUAUAGGGCUCUUUUGGGUCUUAUAAUUGGAAUGAGUACAAUUUAAAUCCCUUAACGAGGAACAAUUGGAGGGCAAGUCUGGUGCCAGCAGCCGCGGUAAUUCCAGCUCCAAUAGCGUAUAUUAAAGUUGUUGCAGUUAAAAAGCUCGUAGUCGAAAUUCAGACCCGGCCGGGUGGUCCGCCUCACGGUGUGUACUGUCUGGCUGGGCCUUCCCUCUUGGUGAGCCGGCAUGCCCUUCACUGGGUGUGUCGGGGAACCAGGACUUUUACUUUGAGAAAAUUAGAGUGUUCAAAGCAGGCCUACGCCCGAAUACAUUAGCAUGGAAUAAUAGAAUAGGACGUGCGGUUCUAUUUUGUUGGUUUCUAGAGUCGCCGUAAUGAUCAAAUAGGGACAGUUGGGGGCAUUCGUAUUCGGUUGCUAGAGGUGAAAUUCUUGGAUUUACCGAAGACGAACUUCUGCGAAAGCAUUUGCCAAGGAUGUUUUCAUUGAUCAAGAACGAAGGUUAGGGGAUCGAAAACGAUCAGAUACCGUUGUAGUCUUAACAGUAAACUAUGCCGACUAGGGAUCGGGCGAUCUCACUAUCAUGUGUCGCUCGGCACCU